AGGACAUUGUCAUAAUUUCACUUUGUAGGUUAGCCAAAUCCGACUCACACCCACGUCGGCAACAGAGAGUGACUGAAAAAGAACUACACACUUCAAAAAGCCAACCAGAAAAACUUGAAUAAGGAAAAAUAAAAAUUAUGGCAUUCCAUUUCUUAUUGCGUUUUUGCUCGGCCAAAUCCAAAUUUCAUGACCCAAUUUACACUCUCUCUCAAUCUCUGCAAAACUGAGUGCUUCCCGUGAAACGUGCGCAAUAAGGAAGAAGCUAUAGCAGAAGGUUCAGAUGACGAGGAAGAAUUGUAAGCAUUGAGAGCGCGGCUUGCUCAAGUCAGAUCAUAAUUGCUCAUGAAAUUGUUUCCUUUGCUUCAUUGUCAUUAGGAAGAAGUGUGGUUGUGCUUAUUCUGUAAAGCCUAUUAGCAGUACAUGUAAUGAUGCUUGGAUACAACUUAACAAUAGCAUUAACUCGAAUAUUAUUUUAUGAACAACAGAAAUUAGUUCUUCUGUAAUAAAUGUUAUAUUACAAGGUUCUGUUUAUUAUAGUGAAUCUAGAUCAGAUGCUUUCCAGGGUAAAGUAAUUAUCAUUUUAUGCAUAUGCUCAUGUAAGAAGCUAGGCUAUGGUCAUCAACUACUUCUGUACUUCUACCACAUUCUGUACUACUGCAUGUCAUAUUUUAACUUUUAAAUGGCCUUAAAGAAAAUAAGGCCCAACUGAAUUCGAUAUCGAUGCACUUGGGAGAAAUUGUUGGUAUUGCUUUGUACUCUUAAACAAUAUUCUAGUUCCUGCAUGACUAUGUAACAUAUGUAAAUGUUUACAAUAUGCUGACUUUUAACUUUUAAGCUAAUUGGCAUGAACUGUCUGAAUAAUUUGGUACAUGAUAUAAGUACUUUAUACGCUCAGUCGCCUUUUUAUCUUCUAUGUACGUAACUCCACAAUCCACCCCCAGCCCCUUUUCCUUGGCUGAAAUCAGCUUUAUGAUAUGUUUUAUGUGCUUGCAGCCCUUGCUCAUACUGUGAAUCAUCCAUCGAAGAGUACAGAGAAAGCUCCAGAAAUGGCUGUCAUAACGCAAGAAUUUACCAAAGAAAUCACCAAGGUAAUAUCCAUUUCAGUGCUUUUUGGUUGCCCGUGGGAGCUUUUCCCAUGUUAGACCGCGUCUACUUUCUUAAGUUUUAGCAGAGGUUACUUGGUGCUCUCUGCUCUUGUUCAAGUGGGAAUUUCAUCUUGUUUUAUUGUCCAUUUUUUUGGGGUCUGUUUAGUUGGCUUAAGAUGCGUAAUGGUAGCUCAUGUUGUAGAACCCUGGGUUUUAUUUGUUCAUUGUUUAACCUUUUAGAAACUAUCUUUAUCCUUUAUUUAUUAAUUUUUGAGACAUACAUGUCUGGAAAUUUCAGGAAAUACACUGUGUGACACUUGUUAGGUGCUCGUGUAUUAUGUAUUUAUGUGUAUAAGCUUACAAUAGUAUAAU